rnacentral:rRNA from 1 species
UACGUGGGGGCCGAGCGUUGUCCGGAGUUACUGGGCGUAAAGGGCGCGCAGGCGGCGGCGUGGGUCCGGCGUGAAAGCCCCCGGCUCAACCGGGGAACGUCGUCGGGGACCGCGCCGCUUGAGGGCGGCAGGGGCCGGUGGAAUGCCUGGUGUAGUGGUGAAAUGCGUAGAGAUCAGGCGGAACACCCGUGGCGAAGGCGGCCGGCUGGGCCGUCCCUGACGCUGAGGCGCGAAGGCGUGGGGAGCGAACGGGAUUAGAUACCCCGGUAGUCCACGCAGUAAACGAUGCCGACUGGGCGUGGGGGGAGUUGACCCCCUCCGUGCCGGAGCCAACGCGGGAAGUCGGCCGCCUGGGGAGUACGGCCGCAAGGCUAAA